rnacentral:rRNA from 1 species
UACGUAGGGUGCGAGCGUUGUCCGGGAUUAUUGGGCGGAAAGAGCUCGUAGGCGGUUUGUCGCGUCGGCCGUGAAAACUUGGGGCUUAACCCCAAGCCUGCGGUCGAUACGGGCAGACUUGAGUUCGGCAGGGGAGACUGGAAUUCCUGGUGUAGCGGUGAAAUGCGCAGAUAUCAGGAGGAACACCGGUGGCGAAGGCGGGUCUCUGGGCCGAUACUGACGCUGAGGAGCGAAAGCGUGGGGAGCGAACAGG